UGAGGAAUAUUGGUCAAUGGGCGCAAGCCUGAACCAGCCAUCCCGCGUGCAGGAAGACGGCGCUAUGCGUUGUAAACUGCUUUUCCAGGGAGAGAAACUUGCGCACGUGUUGCGCAAUUGACGGUACCCUGGGAAUAAGCAUUGGCUGACUCCGUGCCAGCAGCCGCGGUAAUACGGAGGAUGCGAGCGUUAUCCGGAUUCAUUGGGUUUAAAGGGUGCGUAGGCGGACUAUUAAGUCGGUGGUGAAAUCCUGCAGCUUAACUGCAGAACUGCCAUUGAUACUGAUAGCCUUGAGUUUGGUUAAGGUAGGCGGAAUGUGUAAUGUAGCGGUGAAAUGCUUAGAUAUUACACAGAACACCAAUUGCGUAGGCAGCUUACUGAGCCGACACUGACGCUGAGGCACGAAAGCGUGGGGAUCGAACAG
rnacentral:rRNA from 1 species